rnacentral:lncRNA from 1 species
CCUUAUUCGCUUUUCAAUACCAUUCCGACUUUCUGACGUCUUCGAGCGUAUACGUCUCCUCCAAAUCCUUUACGAGAAUAAGAUAAUACUAUAGUCACUAAAUAAUAUAUCGCAUAUACAUAUCACGUAUACCGAUACCCACUUAUACAACCCUUUAAACUCAUCAAAUAUCACUUAACACAUAAUCAUGCUUUGACUCUACCAUAUAGUCCAAUCAUAUUCCACAUAACAUAUUAUCAAUUAAAUAUCAUAUAAAUCUUAUCGAAAAUCCGACAUCGUCUCGUCUAUUUAUAAGACUAUCCACCUGUUAUCCUAUUUUGUCCAACAACCAAUCAACCAAUUCCAAUUCCUAUAAUCCAUAUGUCCUUAUCCAAUAUUAAUCAAAUCAUGACACUAUGUCAUAUAAGUCAUUUAUCACGUAUAUAAUAUCAGGAAUAGACAUAUAUAUCACGUAAUCAUCAAUUAAUAACAAUCCAAUAACAUAUAAUCACAUUCAGCACAUUUAACAACAAUUAUUCACAUUCUCGACUCCAUCAUAUUAUUAUGUCAUAUCAAACUAGACUUUAUAAGCUUUCAUCUCUCUUUCGUUUCACUUGAUUCCGACUUACGGAUCAAAAGUUAUGACCAAAACCGUUUUCUGACUCCGCUCUCAACAUAUAAUACCUUACACCGAUAGCAGUCAACACAUUACACAUUAAGUCUCCCAUCCCAAUUGAUGUCAAGUCAAGUCUGGGGUUAAAAAAGAUUUUUCGGGAAUUUUCCAGAAUUUUUAAACAUUUUUCGGAAUUAAAACGGAUAAAAGAAUCACUUUUUGAAUAAAUAAUCAAGUCCGGAUAUUCGAAAUUGGACUUGAAAUCAUUCAUAAACAAUUGUCGAGCCUUGAAAAUAAUUUGGAAAAAUAUUUUAAAGCUCGAAACUAUUUUUCGGAAUUUUUAAAUCAAAAAGGAUUAAUUAAAUCCAAUUAAUUAAUCAAUUAAAAUCAAUUAAUAAUUAAUUAAAAUAAUUAAUCAAUUAAUAUUUAAAUUAAUUGACCAAUUAAAAUAAUUAAUUACUAAUUAAAAUUAAUUAAUAAAUCAAAUUAGAUUUAUUUUUGAAUAAAGAAAUAAUUAAAAACUAUUUUUGAAAUUUAAAAUAAUUAAAUAAAACAAUUUUUGAAAAUUAAAAUUAAAAAGGUUUAAAGUGUCAAUGUUUAAAACUUUGUCGCAAGGUUUAAACUGCAACUUUUCAAAGUUACAGGGUUUGAAUCGUUAAAACCGAAACUAUAGUACCCAACCUUCACCAUCUUCAAAAGAUGGGUGGCCAAACGGAAAUUUUCCGCCGGCCACCACCCAACUCGCCGGAAACGACCAUACGAGCCACCACCUUCAUCCAAACUCUCCAGAAUUAAAGUAUAUACAUCCAUAAACUCGUACAAACAAUCACUUUCACCAAACCACACUUGUUUUAGCCGGAUUUUGUCCGGAAAGAGGGGCCGUCGUCGAGUUCUUCAAGAACUCCGGCGAACCCGACCCACGAAUCCCACAUACAAUUUGAACACUGAAAUCGAUUCCUUGCAACCCCUAGAACAUGCCAAUACCCUUCAAUUUUACCCAGACUUCCCCGAUUAAAAAGCCCCAAAAUCGAAUUGAAACAUUCAAGAACACUCAAGAACACCCCUCAAGAAUCAAACCCACUUUUCUAGGUGUUAUGGAACUCAAAAAUCAACAUAUAAUAUACCAAAACGACGAGAAAAACACGUUCUACAACAUGGAAUCAUCCAAACAAUCAAACAAACACGUUUACAAAAAUUCAUCAUUUAAAUCAUAUAAAUUCGAAUUUUGAAAAAUAAAUAUAAAAUCACCUGACAAAUCUGCACAUAAACGGAUGAUUGUACUAGAUUCUACGCGUCGAUAGCUUCGUUUUGACUAUUCAUACGCCUCCAUCGGAUUCAAAUAACACCUUCAAAACCUUGUUUGAUUACGAAGAACACGAAG